rnacentral:lncRNA from 1 species
AAAUUUUAGUUAACUAUAUAUAUAAUUAAAAUUUGAUUUAUUAGUGUUUAAUAGUGUUUCUUAAUAAAAUUCUAGUUAAUUGUAUAUAUAAUUAUAUUUAAUUGGUAUAAUUUGAUUUAAUAGUGUUUCCAAAUAAAAUUCUAUUUUUAACCAUCUAAUAGCUAUAUUUGAGUUUGACAUGUGGUAAGCAUAUAGAAAGAUGCAUAAUUAGCAUUUAAUUUGAUUUAAUUUGAUUUAAUUAUAUAUAUAAUUAUAAUGUAGUAUCCCUUGAGUUCUACAGCGGUGAGAUUUCAGCAUCUGAGGCUUGUCGACAUAUCUGGAGAGUGUCGAGAUGAGUCCGAAUUGUUUUGGUGCGAAAUAGAUGCAAAAGGGACUCAGUGUGACGCGAGAGCAGGAAUUUAGUAUUUAAAAUCUGCAAAUUGCAGGUUUUCUGCAUUGCGUACCGGUAGUACCCAGGGCGUACUGGUACCCCAGCGUAAUCCGCGAAU